GGAAAAUACAAUUUUUAACAUUUUCUGUUCAGAAUAUUGUGCUCCUACAGCUUGUAAACCUCAUAUAUAGCCUACUGAUGAAUAUUGUGUUCCUACAAAUUAUAAGCCUCAUAUAUAGCCUAUGAAGUGGCUUUUCAAUAAACUGUAGUAGAAGCUCUUAUCAGCAAAUAUGUGAAGACAAAUCAUCAAAAUAUCCAAAGAAA
rnacentral:misc_RNA from 1 species